rnacentral:lncRNA from 1 species
UCAAACAGCAAACAAGCUUUGUACAAUGAAGUUUGGUUGAAGCCUUUUAUCAAACCGAAAACAAGCACUGUACAAUAAAGUUUGGUUGAAGCCUUUUAUCAAACAGAAAAUAAGCACUGUACAAUAAAGUUUGGUCGAAGCAAAGCACCGUACAAUAAGGCACAUCAAAACAAAGAAAAAAACAACACAAUACAAAAAUCACUUCAACUCAACCAUUUUUUCAACGUGAAAAGAAAAAGUGAAAUAAUGAAACCAGGACAUUAGGACAAUGAAAUUACCUUUGGCAGGGAAGGCGGACAGAGAUGCGAAACUGGUGAAAUUGUGCCGGUUUAUAGCCGUCGGAAAAAGAGGCUGGACUUGAAAAUUUGAAAAGGGAAAUUUG